GACGAACGCUGGCGGCGUGCUUAACACAUGCAAGUCGAACGGAAAGGCCCUGCUUUUGUGGGGUGCUCGAGUGGCGAACGGGUGAGUAACACGUGAGUAACCUGCCCUUGACUUUGGGAUAACUUCAGGAAACUGGGGCUAAUACCGGAUAGGAGCUCCUGCUGCAUGGUGGGGGUUGGAAAGUUUCGGCGGUUGGGGAUGGACUCGCGGCUUAUCAGCUUGUUGGUGGGGUAGUGGCUUACCAAGGCUUUGACGGGUAGCCGGCCUGAGAGGGUGACCGGCAGGACUGGGAGUGAGAGCCGGCACAGACUGGGGCGGGAGGCAGAGGUGGGGAAGCGGGCAGAAGGGGCGGAAGGGGGAUGCAGCACCGCGGCUGGGGGGAUGCGGGCCUUCGGGGGGGCUGCCGCUGUGGGCGGUGAGGAGGGGUGGGUGAGGGUAGGGGGAAAAGAAGCACGGGAGAACGAGGGGCCAGCAGCGGGGGUAAUAGAUGAACAGCACACGGCUGCAC
rnacentral:rRNA from 1 species